UGUGUAGGAUAGGUGGGAGGCUUUGAAGCGUGGACGCCAGUCUGCGUGGAGCCAACCUUGAAAUACCACCCUUUAAUGUUUGAUGUUCUAACGUGGACCCGUAAUCCGGGUUGCGGACAGUGUCUGGUGGGUAGUUUGACUGGGGCGGUCUCCUCCCAAAGAGUAACGGAGGAGCACGAAGGUUAGCUAAUCCUGGUCGGA
rnacentral:rRNA from 1 species